CGCACUACCCCCUUCCCCUUUCUUCUUCUCCUCUCUUCUUCUAACGUUGCGGGCUUUUAGCAAACCCAACAAUGGAGGUCACAUUAGCCCCACCCAACCCUCGCCUCCUCUCUCACACACACCUUUUAGUAGGCAAAAUGAAGCACCCGUAACGCCAAUUUGAAAAACCCCUCUCUCUUCCCCACUUUUUCUCUCUCAAAUUUUCAAGAAUAGUGAACUUCACCAUCAUACCCAAUGCAGCCAUUAGAGUCUCUUUAUAGACCAUUUUUGUACCUUUUUUUUUUUUGUGUUAUGAAUUGGAGGUGGAAGUGUAACAGAUGUAUCUCAGAGGUUUAUGGUGAGGUAAAGUGCUCGAUUUUUUCCGUUUGUUGGCGAAAAAAAUGGAGAUGGUCGGAAUUCUUUUUUCCGUUUCAGUUCCUUCUAAAAAGGUUGUCGUGGAGCAUCCAAUUAAUGCCGGAGGGUUGAAGACAAUUAAAAGAAAUUUGUGGAGAUGAAGUAUUAGAUAUCUUAGAUUAACUUUGAAUUGUAUUAUUAAACUGGCAUGUAAUAAAUUUUUAUUCUUGUAAAUUAGUUUUAGGAAGUGUUAUGGAAUGAUACAUAAAAGACAUGUUUGUCCUUCAAAUGUUCGUUAGGCCUACCUCUGGCAUAAAGAGGUCCCUUGCAUUAUAGAACGCGAUGUAUUAUGUGCAAUAAUGUGUUUAUAUGCAAUAAUAUGUCCUUACCGCA